UAAUUAAAAUAUCUCUUCAGAUUGUAUAAAUCUUCCGCCUUUUACUAAAGAUUUCUGUGGUGAGGAAUACAUCUUAGUUUUUAUUAUGAUGUACUUUUUCUAAGAUCUUUUUAGAGACAC
ensembl:snRNA U5 U5 spliceosomal RNA